rnacentral:sRNA from 1 species
UAGUAGUCACUCAGUUGCGUUAGCGAUUGAAAUGGCAUCCUUUUUAUGCUGAACUCGUUUCAGUAUCUAUAGAAUGUUAAAUUGCUUUUGAAAGUAUUAAGCAGAUGCUGAAAUAAAUUCAGCAUGAAAAGAUAUAAUGUAAAGCGCGACCCUUG